GGGGACAGAAGGAGGGGACACAGGGACACGGUGACAUGGAGACAGAGAGGGGACACACGGACACAGAGGGGACACAGGGACAGUGAGAGGGGACACAGGGACACGGUGACAUGGGGACAGAGAGGGGACACACGGACACAGAGGGGACACAGGGACAUGGUGACACGGGGACACAGGGACACGGGGACAUGGGGACACAGGGACACAGGGACAUGGUGACACGGGGACACAGGGACACGGGGACACAGGGACAGAGAGAGGGGACACAGAGAUACAGAGAGGGGACACAGGGACACAGGGACACAGGUGACACAGGGACACAGAGAGGGCACAGGGACAGAGAGGGGACAGAGGGACACACACAGGUGACACAGGGGCACACAGCAGUGACACAGGGACACACAGAGGUGACACAGGGGCACACAGCGGUGACACAGUGACACAGAGGUGACACAGGGACACAGAGGUGACACAGGGACAUGGAGAGGGGACACAGGGACACAGAAAGGUGACACAGGGACACAGAAAGGUGACACAGGGACACAGAGAGGGGACAGAGGGACACAGAGGGAGGACACAGUGACACAGAGAGGGGACAGAGGGACACAGAGGGAGGACACAGUGACACAGAGAAGUGACACAGUGACACAGAGAGGGGACAGAGGGACACAGAGGGAGGACACAGUGACACAGAGGUGACACAGUGACACACAGAGGGAGGACACAGGGACACAGAGGUGACACAGUGACACAGAGAGGGGACAGAGGGACACAGAGGGAGGACACAGUGACACAGAGGUGACACAGUGACACAGAGAGGUGACACAGUGACACAGAGGUGACACAGUGACACACACACAGAGGUGACACAGUGACACACAGAGGUGACACAAUGACACAGAGGUGACACAGUGACACAGCGGUGACACAGUGACACACAGAGAGGUGACACAGUGACACAGAGGUGACACAGUGACACAGAGGUGACACAGUGACACAGAGAGGGGACAGAGGGACACAGAGGGAGGACACAGUGACACAGAGGUGACACAGUGACACAGAGAGGUGACACAGAGGGACACACAGAGGUGACACAGUGACACAGAGGUGACACAGUGACACACAGAGGGAGGACACAGUGACACAGAGAGGUGACACAGUGACACACAGGUGACACAGUGACACACAGGUGACACAGUGACACAGAGAAGGGACACAGGGGGUCAGGGCGUGGCCGGGCAGCUCGGGGCUCCCCCCGGUCCCCCCGUACCUGCUGCAUCAGCUCCAGCAGGGUCU